GUCUACGGCCACACCCCCCUGAAUGCGCCCGAUCCCGUCUGAUCUCAGAAGCUAAGCAAGGUCAGGCCUGGUCAGUACCAGGAUGGGAGACCUCAUGGGAAUACCAGGUGCUGUAGGCU